AUGCAUUGGCUGUCCUGGGAGAAACUUGCAUCUCCAAAAAUUCGUGGUGGAAUGGGUUUUCGUGAUCUCGAGCUAUUUAAUAUUGCGCUCUUGGGAAAACAUGGUUGGAGAUUCAUCACAAACCCUAACUCACUUUGUGCGCGGGUAAUGAAGGGACGUUAUUUCCCUGACUCUGAUUUUAUGGAGGCUACUGUUCCGCAAUCAGCUUCAGCCAUAUGGCGAGCUAUAGUGGACGGAAGAGGUGCGCUCCAAACGAGGCUGAUCAAGAGGGUGGGCGAUGGGAGUUCUAUCUCUAUUUGGAACGAUCAGUGGAUACCUGGUCUUUCCACCCUUGCCCCAACGGUCAUGCCAGGAGGAACCACACUGGGUACUGUUGAUGAGUUGAUCGAUACAGAUAAUUGGACUUGGCGACGGGAGCUAAUCCGGGACACCUUCAUAGCCCCUGAUGCCGACGCAAUUCUAAAUAUCCCACUACAACGGGGUGGUGGGGAUGAUUUCCAAGCCUGGGCCCAUGAACAAAGUGGCAUCUACUCUGUCAAAUCUGCGUACCGUGCUCUAGUGAAUCAGAACGAGCGAGUUGCACUAGAUGAAGGGACGGUUACCAACACCUCACAGACGGACGAGUAG
rnacentral:rRNA from 1 species